AUGGAGACCUGCAGAACUAAUGAAGCAGAGAAAAAUUCCUUUGGGCAGCAGAGACUAACAGAAAAGCUAUCAACUAUUAACUUGAGCUCUCUCAAGGAGGGAAGCCCUUUAGUCAAGCAUUCUCAACUGAAGACUCUGCAGAAUGGAGCACCCUCAAGUCCCAGUUAUUAAAAAUAAAACUUACUUUACUCAGAAGUAAUAAAAGAGA
rnacentral:lncRNA from 12 species